rnacentral:rRNA from 1 species
CCUACGGGAGGCAGCAGUGGGGAAUAUUGCACAAUGGGGGAAACCCUGAUGCAGCGACGCCGCGUGAGUGAGGAAGUAUUUCGGUAUGUAAAGCUCUAUCAGCAGGGAAGAAAAUGACGGUACCUGACUAAGAAGCCCCGGCUAACUACGUGCCAGCAGCCGCGGUAAUACGUAGGGGGCAAGCGUUAUCCGGCUUUACUGGGUGUAAAGGGAGCGUAGACGGCUAAUCAAGUCAGAAGUGAAAACCCAGUGCUCAACCUUGGGACUGCUUUUGAAACUGAGUAGCUAGAGGGCAGGAGAGGUAAGCGGAAUUCCUAGUGUAGCGGUGAAAUGCGUAGAUAUUAGGAGGAACACCAGUGGCGAAGGCGGCUUACUGGACUGUAACUGACGUUGAGGCUCGAAAGCGUGGGGAGCAAACAGGAUUAGAUACCCCUAGUAGUC